UAUUAAAAUUUUUAUCCAUUUCUACUGUUAAAAGCUGACCUGUCCAAUGGAAUAAUCAAAUAGUUACAGUAGAGGCGUGUUACGUGUAUCUCAUGCUAACAUACAAGACCCAUUUUUAACCCUAGAAAUGAAUGGAAAUUUUAACA
rfam:Gossypium hirsutum cultivar TM-1 chromosome 8, whole genome shotgun sequence